UGGAGGACCUGGAACUGACCAGAAGGCAUAGACGUGAGUCACACAAGUGAACCUCCUGAAUUUCACAGCUUGCAGCCUCUCUCCUUAGUUAAACUAAAGUGGGUCUUCCCUACGGAGCUACAUUGUAGUCCCUACUUUACUGCAAGUAAGAGAUACAUCUUCAGGAAGCAGUUUUUCUUUUCUAGUGCUUUCUGAGAUGCGCCAAAUUAAAAGGAUUAAAGGGGUGGGGACAAUAUAGCUACAAUUGAUAGGCAAAGAAGAGCCAACUAGUGCAUAAUUGGAAUUCCUAGAUGAGACAGAAACAAUGAAAUACAAUACCUAUUUAAAGAUAUACAUUGGGAGGCUGAGGUGGGCAAAUCAAGAGGUCAAGAGAUCGAGACCAUCCUGGCCAACAUGGUGAAACCCCGUCUCUACCAAAAAUACAAAAAUUAGCUGGGCAUGGUGGUGUGUGUCUGUAGUCCCAGCUACUCAGGAGGCUGAGGCAGGAGAAUCGCUUGAACUCUGAAGGCAUAGGCUGCAGUGAGCUGAGAUUGCGCCACCGCACUCCAGCCUGGCGACAGAGCAAGACUCCGUCUCAAAAACAAAUAAAAAUAAGAUAUAAUUCUGGAAAAUACUUCUGAAGUAAAAAAGGACUUCAAUCUACUUUUGAAAAAACACAGUAUGGGCCGGGCGUGUUGGCUCACGCCUGUAAUCCCAGCACUUUGGGAGGCCGAGGCGGGCGGAUCACCUGAGGUCGGGAGUCUGAGACCAGCCUGACCAACGUGGAGAAACCCCAUCUCUACUAAAAAUACAAAAUUAAACGGGCAUGGUGGCGCAUGCCUGUAAUCUCAGCUACUCGGGAGGCUGAGGCAGGAGAAUUGCUUGAACCUGGGAGGUGGAGGUUGCGGUGAGCCGAGAUCGAGCCAUUGCACACUUCGGCCUGGGCAACAAGAGCGAAACUCCGUCAAAAAAAAAAAAAAAAAAAGAAUAAACACACUAUGUUUGCACUAUGAGAUACAUUCUAAUAAUGUUACUGAAAUGUAAAGAUGAAUCUUUGGGGCACUCAGGCAGAAAGAUCAAGUAUAAAGGCUCUAAAAAGAUUUUUUUUUUUUUAGACAGAGUUUCGCUCUUGUUACCCAGGCUGGAGUGCAAUGGCGCAAUCUCGGCUCACUGCAACUUCCAUCUCCUGGGUUCAAGUGAUUCUCCUGCCUCAGCCUCCCAAAUAGCUGAGAUUACAGGUAUGUGCCACCACGCCCAGCUAAUUUUUCGUAUUUUUAGCAGAAACAGGGUUUCACCAUGUUAGCCAGGCUGGUCUCAAACUCCUGACCUCAGGUGAUC
rnacentral:lncRNA from 1 species